CACUUUUCAUGCGCCUGGCAUCCCCUGACAUGUCCUGAAACAAAGGGAAGAUGUUGCUCCAGCACAGCCCAGCUUUGUGACAGCAGGGCUGCUUCAAAGGAGACCGAGAUACAUUGGCACGGAAAAGUGGCAAAAGUGAGCAAAGGUUGCCCAACAGCUUUCUGAUCUUCCUGCUGCCUGUCAGGAGAGGAAAUCACAGCUUUCAGGAGAACCUGACAGAGGGAACUGGAUAGCACACUGGGGUCAGGGAUAGUGCAAAAAAGCCAAGUCAGUACCCAGGGGAGUAGCAGGCAGCUGUUCAAAGACCGGUCUCUGGAAUAUCAGUGUUGAAUAUGAGUGUCCAGGAAAAAGAAAAAUAAGCAGAAACAGGGAGAAGUCUACAGAGAAGCAAGCUACAAAGCAAUCAGCCAUGCCACAAUGAAAGAUGCACUGAGCAUGUUUUCCCGAGAGUAGGCACAAACUUUGCCCUAACUGCUGCACUUCCCUGUGCAAGGGUGGCUCCUCUUCAGAGAAGGCACUUGCAUUUUCUACACCCCAAGCUGAGGCUGGACAUGUACAUGAGCAAGUAUUUGCAGAUCCAGACGAAAAAACAUUGUUGGAAAAUUAAAUAGAAAUAUCCAGAAUUGAUCAGGGUGGUAAGGUAAGCCAAAAAAGCA